rnacentral:rRNA from 1 species
GAUGAGCGCUGGCGGCGCGCCUAAUACAUGCAAGUCGAGCGAACGGACGAGAAGCUUGCUUCUCUGAUGUUAGCGGCGGACGGGUGAGUAACACGUGGAUAACCUACCUAUAAGACUGGGAUAACUUCGGGAAACCGGAGCUAAUACCGGAUAAUAUUUUGAACCGCAUGGUUCAAAAGUGAAAGACGGUCUUGCUGUCACUUAUAGAUGGAUCCGCGCUGCAUUAGCUAGUUGGUAAGGUAACGGCUUACCAAGGCAACGAUGCAUAGCCGACCUGAGAGGGUGAUCGGCCACACUGGAACUGAGACACGGUCCAGACUCCUACGGGAGGCAGCAGUAGGGAAUCUUCCGCAAUGGGCGAAAGCCUGACGGAGCAACGCCGCGUGAGUGAUGAAGGUCUUCGGAUCGUAAAACUCUGUUAUUAGGGAAGAACAUAUGUGUAAGUAACUGUGCACAUCUUGACGGUACCUAAUCAGAAAGCCACGGCUAACUACGUG